UGGGUUCUUAACCGGCCGAGCCACAAUGGGAACUUCACCUAUUCUUAUCACUGAUUGCUUAUUGAUUAUUUCUGUCAACAAAUCGAAUAAGUACUAUUCAGAAAAGUGUCUAAUUCUGAUCCUGAUUCAAAAUCAGUUAUGUAGUUACAUUAUGCACAAUUCUAAUGGGAUUUGAUGAUUUGAUUAGUUCACAGACCGUAAAUAGUGGGAGAGAAGUAAGGGGUGAAAACGUGUCUAGAGAGAAACAUGAAAUUCAGUAGCAAAGAAUUAGAGCUGGAGAAAAGACAAAUAACCAGAAUAAGAGGUAUUUCCCAAACAGCUUGUCACUUCGAGUCUCUUACUUUGGAGGGUAUAGUAGUAUGUACUUCUAUUUGUCUUGAAGCCUGCAUCAUAUUACAAUAAGGUUUAAAAAUCCGUGUUCGAAGCUGAGCAUUAACACCCAUCUCAUUUUGUUCCAUCAGCCCUGUUGAAGACAGCAGGUUGAGAAGAGUGGGAUAAAGUGUGGAGACAAUACACCCAUGAUUGAAGAUAGAAGAAAGGAAAAGCUAUAGCAGUUUCCCUGACAGUCUGAACUCCAAGCUGGGCUCUUGGGCCGGUUAACUUCAGGAGCCACCUGCCCUAAAUGCUAUGGUUUUCCUAGAGCAACACCUAGGUGUUGAGGUGAGACAAUGCUCUGUUUUUUUUUUUUUCUUUUUAGGGCUGCACCCUCAUUAUAUGGAAGUUCCAGGCUAGGGGUUAAAUCAGAGCUACAGCUGCUGGCUUACACCAGAGCCAUAGCAACACAGAGCUGAGCUGCCUCUGUGGCCUACACCACAGCUCACAGCAAUGACAGAUCCUUAAUCUACUGAGCAAGGCCAGGGAUCGAACAUGCAUCCUCGUGGAUCCUAGUUGGGUUUGUUGUCAUGAGCCACAAUGGGAACUCUGAAGACACCCUGUUUUAGAGAUACAGUAAAUGACAUACAAAGAGUAUUUUGAGAGAAAUGGGGUAUAUCCUAUGCACUGUGAACCUAUUCUUUAAGUUUCCUAUAAAUCUCCGGUACCACAUAUAUGUCUUACUAAUGCUUCGGAAUGAAUUUGCUACAGUGACUGGGAAUGGUGUUGAGUCCUGCCUCAAGGAUGUCACGGGGUGAAGAUAAAAGCUACUUGCAGUAGAGCUGAGAGCCAAGUUCCUUUCAAGGCGUUAUCAACAUAGGACUGGGAGAGUACAGACAGAAGGCCCAUGUGAAGAGGAAGUCACAUUGCAUUAGAGAACCAACAGGAAAGUUGUCUUAAACUUGCAAAAAAAAAAAAAAAAAAGAGCAAAACCAAACUCUCAGUUUUU
rnacentral:lncRNA from 1 species